rnacentral:rRNA from 1 species
GUGAGGAAUAUUGGUCAAUGGGCGAGAGCCUGAACCAGCCAAGUCGCGUGAAGGAAGAAGGAUCUAUGGUUCGUAAACUUCUUUUGCAGGGGAAUAAAGUGCGGGACGUGUCCUGUUUUGUAUGUACCCUGAGAAUAAGGAUCGGCUAACUCCGUGCCAGCAGCCGCGGUAAUACGGAGGAUCCGAGCGUUAUCCGGAUUUAUUGGGUUUAAAGGGUGCGUAGGUGGUUUGAUAAGUCAGCGGUGAAAGUUUGCAGCUUAACUGUAAAAUUGCCGUUGAAACUGUCGAUCUUGAAUGCAAAUGAGGUAAGCGGAAUGUGUUGUGUAGCGGUGAAAUGCUUAGAUAUAAAACAGAACACCGAUUGCGAAGGCAGCUUACUGGGAUGCAACUGACGCUCAUGCACGAAAGCGUGGGGAUCAAACAGGAUUAGAUACCCGGGUAGUCC